AAACGUUAGCUUUGCUGAACCGUGGACUGAACGAGAAAACAAGCCGUACCACCAAGCACCACGGUCCACGACGCCGGCGGCACACCGCCACCGCUCGAAAUCCCAGCAAGGUAGCGAGUGCCGCAAAUAAAUCGUCUCAACUAAAUCAGCGGCUUGGGUGCGAUGCUUGCGCUCAGAUUGGGUAUACUCUCGUCAGACCAUGCGUCCAUGCCCAACUCCUUGUGCAGGACUCGGCUCACCACCUGCUCGACGGAAUGCCUGGCUGGGCACGCCGCAUAAUAUUCAUUUAGUGGAUCAAGAUUUCCUCUCACUGUGCCCUCAAACAUGGUUGGAUCCUGUGGGAUGAUGCUAAGUCUGCCUCGUAAAUCAUGCAACCCGAUUUUGCUGAGAUCAACGUUAUCAAUUUCAAUUGUCCCUUGUCUCGGUUCAACAAUCCGGAAAAGCGCUUGAAUCAAGGUUGACUUUCCACUGCCAGUUACAGAUGACAACUGCCCGUUGAGGUUCAGUGCAUAAGUCACUGCAAGUCCCGCAAUGCCUGUGCAUACAAUUAUGUCAGUUUCACAGCCACCAAAAAUUAGUGAUCAGAGUAUAGACUGCAAAAAUGAAGCAACUAUAACUUGUCUGCAUGAAAAACUUACUUGGAUUUAUAAAACCUUCGGGAAGACUCACCAACAGAGUCAAAGAAAA